rnacentral:rRNA from 1 species
GACGAACGCUGGCGGCGUGCUUAAAACAUGCAAGUCGAACGAUGAAGCCGGAGCUUGCUCUGGUGAAUUAGUGGCGAACGGGUGAGUAACACGUGAGUAACCUGCCCUUGACUCUGGGAUAACUGCUAGAAAUGGUAGCUAAUACCGGAUACGACCCUCGGAGGCAUUCCCAGGGGCGGGAACGAAUUUGGGACAAGGUUGGACUCUGGGCCUAUCAGCUAGUUGGUGAGGUAAUGGCUCACCAAGGCGACGAAGGGUAACCGGCCUGAGAGGGUGAACGGCCAAACUGGGACUGAGACACGGCCCAGACUCCUACGGGAGGCAGCAGUAGGGAAUCUUCCGCAAUGGACGAAAGUCUGACGGAGCAACGCCGCGUGAGUGAUGAAGGUUUUCGGGUCGUAAAACUCUGUUGUUAGGGAAGAACAAGUGCUAGUUGAAUAAGCUGGCACCUUGACGGUACCUAACCAGAAAGCCACGGCUAACUACGUGCCAGCCGCCGCGGUAA